rnacentral:rRNA from 1 species
UACGGGGGGAGCAAGCGUUGUUCGGAUUUACUGGGCGUAAAGGGCGCGUAGGCGGUCGUGACAAGUCACUUGUGAAAUCUCCGGGCUUAACUCGGAACGGUCAAGUGAUACUGUCGGACUAGAGUACAGAAGGGGCAACUGGAAUUCUCGGUGUAGCGGUGAAAUGCGUAGAUAUCAAGAGGAACACCUGAGGCGAAGGCGGGUUGCUAGGCUGACACUGACGCUGACAGCGCGAAAGCCAGGGGAGCAAACGGG